rnacentral:rRNA from 1 species
GACGAACGCUGGCGGCGUGCCUAAUACAUGCAAGUAGAACGCUGAAGAGAGGAGCUUACUCUUCUUGGAUGAGUUGCGAACGGGUGAGUAACGCGUAGGUAACCUGCCUUGUAGCGGGGGAUAACUAUUGGAAACGAUAGCUAAUACCGCAUAACAAUGGAUGACACAUGUCAUUUAUUUGAAAGGGGCAAUUGCUCCACUACAAGAUGGACCUGCGUUGUAUUAGCUACUAGGUGAGGUAAUGGCUCACCUAGGCGACGAUACAUAGCCGACCUGAGAGGGUGAUCGGCCACACUGGGACUGAGACACGGCCCAGACUCCUACGGGAGGCAGCAGUAGGGAAUCUUCGGCAAUGGGGGCAACCCUGACCGAGCAACGCCGCGUGAGUGAAGAAGGUUGUCGGAUCGUAAAGCUCUGUUGUAAGUCAAGAACGGGUGUGAGAGUGGAAAGUUCACACUGUGACGGUAGCUUACCAGAAAGGGACGGCUAACUACGUG